rnacentral:rRNA from 1 species
GUGACUGCGUACCUUUUGUAUAAUGGGUCAGCGACUUAUAUUCUGUAGCAAGGUUAACCGAAUAGGGGAGCCGAAGGGAAACCGAGUCUUAACUGGGCGUUAAGUUGCAGGGUAUAGACCCGAAACCCGGUGAUCUAGCCAUGGGCAGGUUGAAGGUUGGGUAACACUAACUGGAGGACCGAACCGACUAAUGUUGAAAAAUUAGCGGAUGACUUGUGGCUGGGGGUGAAAGGCCAAUCAAACCGGGAGAUAGCUGGUUCUCCCCGAAAGCUAUUUAGGUAGCGCCUCGUGAAUUCAUCUCCGGGGGUAGAGCACUGUUUCGGCAAGGGGGUCAUCCCGACUUACCAACCCGAUGCAAACUGCGAAUACCGGAGAAUGUUAUCACGGGAGACACACGGCGGGUGCUAACGUCCGUCGUGAAGAGGGAAACAACCCAGACCGCCAGCUAAGGUCCCAAAGUCAUGGUUAAGUGGGAAACGAUGUGGGAAGGCCCAGACAGCCAGGAUGUUGGCUUAGAAGCAGCCAUCAUUUAAAGAAAGCGUAAUAGCUCACUGGUCGAGUCGGCCUGCGCGGAAGAUGUAACGGGGCUAAACCAUGCACCGAAGCUGCGGCAGCGACACUAUGUGUUGUUGGGUAGGGGAGCGUUCUGUAAGCCUGUGAAGGUGUACUGUGAGGUAUGCUGGAGGUAUCAGAAGUGCGAAUGCUGACAUAAGUAACGAUAAAGCGGGUGAAAAGCCCGCUCGCCGGAAGACCAAGGGUUCCUGUCCAACGUUAAUCGGGGCAGGGUGAGUCGACCCCUAAGGCGAGGCCGAAAGGCGUAGUCGAUGGGAAACAGGUUAAUAUUCCUGUACUUGGUGUUACUGCGAAGGGGGGACGGAGAAGGCUAUGUUGGCCGGGCGACGGUUGUCCCGGUUUAAGCGUGUAGGCUGGUUUUCCAGGCAAAUCCGGAAAAUCAAGGCUGAGGCGUGAUGACGAGGCACUACGGUGCUGAAGCAACAAAUGCCCUGCUUCCAGGAAAAGCCUCUAAGCAUCAGGUAACAUCAAAUCGUACCCCAAACCGACACAGGUGGUCAGGUAGAGAAUACCAAGGCGCUUGAGAGAACUCGGGUGAAGGAACUAGGCAAAAUGGUGCCGUAACUUCGGGAGAAGGCACGCUGAUAUGUAGGUGAAGCGACUUGCUCGUGGAGCUGAAAUCAGUCGAAGAUACCAGCUGGCUGCAACUGUUUAUUAAAAACACAGCACUGUGCAAACACGAAAGUGGACGUAUACGGUGUGACGCCUGCCCGGUGCCGGAAGGUUAAUUGAUGGGGU